rnacentral:tRNA from 1 species
UUGGGGUUGGGGCUCAGUGGAAGAGUGCUUGCCUAGCAUGUGGGAGGCAUUAGGUUCAAUUCUUAGUACCGCAAA